UACGGAGGGGGCUAGCGUUGUUCGGAAUUACUGGGCGUAAAGCGCACGUAGGCGGCUAUUCAAGUCAGAGGUGAAAGCCCGGGGCUCAACCCCGGAACUGCCUUUGAAACUAGAUAGCUAGAAUCACGGAGAGGUAAGUGGAAUUCCGAGUGUAGAGGUGAAAUUCGUAGAUAUUCGGAAGAACACCAGUGGCGGAGGCGGCUUACUGGACGUGAAUUGACGCUGAGGUGCGAAAGCGUGGGGAGCAAACAGG
rnacentral:rRNA from 1 species